rnacentral:rRNA from 1 species
GACGAACGCUGGCGGCGUGCCUAAUACAUGCAAGUAGAACGCUGAAGGAGGAGCUUGCUUCUCUGGAUGAGUUGCGAACGGGUGAGUAGCGCGUAGGUAACCUGCCUGGUAGCGGGGGAUAACUAUUGGAAACGAUAGCUAAUACCGCAUAAUAGUAGAUGUUGCAUGACAUUUGCUUAAAAGGUGCAAUUGCAUCACUACCAGAUGGACCUGCGUUGUAUUAGCUAGUUGGUGAGGUAACGGCUCACCAAGGCAACGAUACAUAGCCGACCUGAGAGGGUGAUCGGCCACACUGGGACUGAGACACGGCCCAGACUCCUACGGGAGGCAGCAGUAGGGAAUCUUCGGCAAUGGACGGAAGUCUGACCGAGCAACGCCGCGUGAGUGAAGAAGGUUUUCGGAUCGUAAAGCUCUGUUGUAAGAGAAGAACGAGUGUGAGAGUGGAAAGUUCACACUGUGACGGUAUCUUACCAGAAAGGGACGGCUAACUACGUG